rnacentral:rRNA from 1 species
AGGACGAACGCUGGCGGCGUGCUUAAUACAUGCAAGUCUAAGGGGUUACUUCCCUUCGGGGAAGUGAUCACUGGCGCACGGGUGAGUAACACGUAAGUAAUCUGCCCUCGGGUCUGACAUAACUCCGGGAAACCGGAGCUAAUAGCAGAUGACAUGGAGACAUCAAAGGUUUCGACUGCCCGGGGAUGAGCUUGCGUCUGAUUAGCUAGUUGGCGGGGUAAUGGCCCACCAAGGCGACGAUCAGUAGCCGGUCUGAGAGGAUGAUCGGCCACAUUGGGACUGAGACACGGCCCCAGACUCCUACGGGAGGCAGCAGUAAGGAAUAUUGGACAAUGGGGGCAACCCUGAUCCAGCCAUGCCGCGUGAGUGAUGAAGGCCUUCGGGUUGUAAAGCUCGUUUUGGCGGGGACGAUGAUGACGGUACCCGCAGAAUAAGCCCCGGCUAACUUCGUGCCAGCAGCCGC